GGGAGCCAUCACGGCAGCGGGUAAUGACCGCUGGAGGAUGAAGUUAUAUAGACAUCCAGUGGAGGAAUUAAUUACGGGGAACAGGAAGUCCCUCUAGGAAUAGACUGAAGAUUUAACACCUCCCAGGUGGAUACUGUGCCAUUAGAGCGAGGAGCAGCUCUGUUGGCUCCGUGCAGCACGGGGCCUGCUCUACACAACAAUGGCCGCAGGCCCACCUGGCUGCCCGGUGGGCGCCCUUACCUUCCACUUCCUCGGGAGAGGUGCCAGACUGCAAGGCGGACCAACAUUUGCUUGAUGACCUUUUGUGCGCAUUUGUCACUGUUCUGUUAUUUACCUAUUUUCUGUCUUUAAGCUUGCCUGGGCCAGAUGACGGAAAGGAGACGAUAGGUGGUGAAGGAGCCGCGGGGCUUAUCGGUGAUUGACACGGAGCUGCAGGGAAGAAGACAAUCGCCAAGGUCUGAGAAUCCUGGGAGCGGAACUCCCCUCAGCCUCAAGGGCGCCGGGAGAGCACGCAUCUUUCAUUGCCGAGAGCACUGUGUCCGAAACAGAUAGCAGCAGUUCCCCACGGCAGGUACUGGCACCUGAAGAUUCUCCUGAUGAGAUCUGAGAGGGGAGCAAACCCAAGACCCAUUGGGCUUUGGCUGCUGUACAGAAGACUGCUGUGGGGAGAGGGGAGGGCCCUGUCUGUGUGCGUGAGGUCCUGUGUCUACGUGACCAACGGGCCUUAGCUCCUGGAAGUUCCUGGCCUUUCACACUGCCACACUGAAGUUCUCCCCAAGUUUUCGGCUCCCCCUCCUAUUCUACUCACUGGCUUCCCUCUCUCUCUCUCUCUCUCUCUCUCUCUCUCUCUCUGCUCUUAAUCUACCAAUUAUUUCCUUUAAGUGUCAGCAGUACACCAG
rnacentral:lncRNA from 1 species